rnacentral:lncRNA from 1 species
CAGCUCAGAGUUAGGUGUGCAGUCAAACGCGAGAGCAUCGUCUGACUCGGCAGCAGGUUGAGCAGAGAUUUUGAGAGCAUUUUCUCUGAGAUAAGGCAAGUCUCCAGAUAGUCUCUAAAAAAAAAAAAAAAAAAAAAAAAAAAAAAAAAAAAAAAGAAAAUGAACUCAGAAGUCAGAGACCCUCGAUUGAUGACCCAAACACAAGAUGUGUAUUUGUCAUCAGGAGCAGCGAGUAUUGUGAGUUCUUUUUUGUGUGAUUAAAAACAUUCUAGUAAGAAUUCUGACCAUGUUUGAUAGUUAAUUGUGCUUUUCUUUAUCUUUGCCUUUUCCCAGCCAUCCUUCAAAAAUCCAAUAAGAUAACGGUCUUCCCCUUCAAGAUGGAUUUGAGUUACGUUCCUCCUGAGUUCUUCAGCGUCGACCCACCACCUCUGCAUCAGAACGUGCUAAUAGAUCAAUGGCUGUGCAGAACCUGCUCUGACUGACUGGAAAAGCAUCCCCAGCACUUUUGGAAGAAUACCCAGAGGCAACAAACCAGCAGCGUAGUCCAGGACAUCCCAGCACCACUGAGCUACACUAAAAGCGCAGAUCAACAAUUGUUACCCAAACUAGUGAUGAGUACCAGAGACAUUUGCAAUUUGCAACCUGAACCAUUCAAGUGCAGUGUAAAUUUAUUAUGUAUAUGAGCUCCUGUCAUGUGGAAAGUUAGAGCUUGUCAUUAACACUCGCUAACUAGCCUCUAUGGAUAACGGCCUGUCAAUCAAAGUCCGGCCCCGAUU